GAUUCACCUGUGAUGCUGAUAAGUAUUAGUAACUUUUUUUCACCUAAGGAAAUAAAGACAAAACUAAAGGAUUUUGAAAAAUGUUCUAAAAUGUCCCUGGACACUGGAUAUCUGCAAGGGAAAUGGCUAUUUCUACAUAAAGUAGGUAUUGGCCCCAGUAGUCCCAGUGGUCAUGGCAGGGAAGCUGGCUUGGCAUCGACUUCACACAACGAACCUCUGAUCACCAGCACAUCCAGCUGGCUGCUCUCUGCUGUAGCUGAUCAGAUGCAUCUUCUGAGUGGAGAGUCCAGUUGGCAUCCCUUCCCCUUCAGCACUCCGGACUCUCCCAGAUGACCCCUUUUUGGAGCUGGGAGUAGCUUCCUGGGUUCCCCAAGCACCAAUGCAGAGGAAGCAGCUCCUCCAGAAGUGGUGCCCAGGAUCCUGCUUCCUGAUUGUGCUCUCCACUUCUGGUGAAGUGAGUGACAGAAAUGGGUUAUUGCUGGGUCUCUCUCUCCAACCUCCUAUCUCAUUCCUC